AUGUUCGCUUCAGCAGUACACGUACUAAGAUUGGAACAACACAGAGAAGGUUGGCAUGGUCCCUGCACAAAGAUGAUAUGCAAAUUUGUGAGUCAUUCCAUAUAUAU
ensembl:snRNA U6 U6 spliceosomal RNA